AUGCCAUCUUACCUGGACCUCAGCCAUGGUCACCCUCCUUGGACAAACAAUGAUUCUCACACGCAAGUGAGAAUCAUGAAACAAAUGUGUUUCCUGGCUACUCAGGGGGUUUCACUUCUGGAGAUCAAAGAAUUUAAAACCUGGAGAUGCCUCCAAUUUCAUCAUAAGAGCCCAAGGGUGAGGGGCAGGGCCGAGGGACRCUCACCAGUCAGCGCUGCAGCAAAGCCACCUAAAGUUGUGGACAUCACAACCUGCACUUUGGAAAGGACAUUGGCCAACAUGGCCUCGUUGUGGCUGGGUGACAACCCUGUGGGCAGGCUGAGCAGGCGGACCCGCUGCCACCCCACCUCCCCGGCUGAGAAUGCUCCUGAGGAAGCCAAGCUGAACCGGGUAACAGCCGCCAGCAGAGCUGCCUCGUUCUGGGGGUCCCUUUGCCACUGAGAGGGCAUCCGGGGGCAUUUCCGGGGGUCUCCGGCAGGUGGGAAGGCACUGCGGCCUGAGAGCCGCCUUGGCUUCUCUGUGGACUUCUUCCUCUGCGGCAAGCCCUGACCCUCGUGGGGAGGUGGGGCUGGGUGGAGGGCUCCGCCUGCCCAGCUGAGAGCAGGCAGGACCCCCUUGCCUCCUGAGACUGGCCUCCCCGGGGACAGCCGGCCCCAUGGGAGGGAGCCGUGCCUCGCGUCACACACUCCCAGGCCUCUGGGGCAGACCUCAGAGAGGACCUUACUGUGUCAAGGAAGCAGCCUCCAGUGUGGGGCGAGGCCAGCCUCUGCCCCGGUGGCCCUGGCACCUGCAGUGGAGGAGGCUGCUGGCCCGCAGCUGGUGGGAUGGGCCUGGAGUGGCUCCCGUGGGCACCCAAGGCUCUCCACAAACUCCCGAAACCGCCCCCAGCCACCAGACUCCACGCCACACAAGCCUCAGAGGGGGCUCACGGCCCCAGCUCUGCCCCAGGCGGCCCCGGAGGCCAGYGGGUCUGACGCCAGACGGCUGCCUGGACUUCUCGUCUGUGCUGAC
rnacentral:lncRNA from 1 species